AUUGAACGCUGGCGGCAUGCCUUACACAUGCAAGUCGAACGGUAACAGGUUAAGCUGACGAGUGGCGAACGGGUGAGUAAUGUAUCGGAACGUGCCCAGUCGUGGGGGAUAACUGCUCGAAAGAGCAGCUAAUACCGCAUACGACCUGAGGGUGAAAGCGGGGGAUCGCAAGACCUCGCGCGAUUGGAGCGGCCGAUAUCAGAUUAGGUAGUUGGUGAGGUAAAGGCUCACCAAGCCGACAAUCUGUAGCUGGUCUGAGAGGACGACCAGCCACACUGGGACUGAGACACGGCCCAGACUCCUACGGGAGGCAGCAGUGGGGAAUUUUGGACAAUGGGCGCAAGCCUGAUCCAGCCAUGCCGCGUGCGGGAAGAAGGCCUUCGGGUUGUAAACCGCUUUUGUCAGGGAAGAAAAGGUUCUGGCUAAUACCUGGGACUCAUGACGGUACCUGAAGAAUAAGCACCGGCUAACUACGUG
rnacentral:rRNA from 1 species